rnacentral:rRNA from 1 species
UACGGAGGGUGCAAGCGUUAUCCGGAUUCACUGGGUUUAAAGGGUGCGUAGGUGGGUCUGUAAGUCCGUGGUGAAAUCUCCAAGCUUAACUUGGAAACUGCCAUGGAUACUAUAGGUCUUGAAUACCGUGGAGGUGAGCGGAAUAUGUCAUGUAGCGGUGAAAUGCUUAGAUAUGACAUAGAACACCAAUUGCGAAGGCAGCUCACUACUCAAUCAUUGACUCCGAGGCACGAAAGCGUGGGGAUCAAACAGG